rnacentral:lncRNA from 1 species
UUUUUUUUUUUUUUUUUUUUUUUUUUCUGUAGCCAGUGAUUUGAAGAGGAUUAAACUUGGUAGAAUCACAUUAUUACAUUUGUUUCCCCCUGUUGUUUAGCUGUUGGGAAUUUUAGCAGCAGUGCUUGUUCUAAUUCACAGACCGUCUCAAUUCUAAGGUAGGGUAGUUUGAAAACCACUGACUGAGUAGUCAGCCUCUUCAGCUUUGCUUUGUAGGGGGAGUAGUGAGAUUUGGUUCUGGUUUUGAUUGGUAACUCUUCAGGUGUUUGCUAGCACUUCAUUCUGGCUUUCCGUUUGUGUGUGGCCAGGUGGUUAUACUAAGGAAAUUUCCAGCAGGAUGCACAUUUCUGAGGAGUAUGAAGAAUAUUGUCCCGGAGACAAAUAGAUUAUUAUGAGGACUUUAUGCUCAAUAUGGAAGGAAAGGGGGAGAAUGACUAAGUGAAACUCUAAAAUUAUGAAGGGCAUGUAGUCUGUCAUAGACGGGUUGGCAGACCUUUCCUGUGAAGAGCCAGAUAGGACAUAGUUUUGGCUUUGUUGCCCAAAAUCAGUUCUGUCUGUGUAGCAUGAAAAUAGCAUUAGACAAUACCAAAUGAGUGAGCAUUGCUGAAAUUUGAAUUUCAUGUAAAUUCUUUACCUGUCUUGAAAUUUCCUUUUCAUUUGAGUUUGAGUUUACCCCUAAUCAUUAAAGAAAUUCGGAUUCGUUAACCACUGCGCCACGUCGGGAACUCCAAACACAUGGUCUUCUGUGCUGCAUAAUAAAUGAUCACAAACCUAGCAUUCAAAUCAACCCUUAUUUAUUUAUUUGGCUGCACCUACGGUAUGCAGAAGUUCCUGGGCCAGGGAUAGAACCCAUGGCACAGCUGCAAUCCAAGCUACUGCAGCAACAACGCUGGACCCUUAACCCUCUGCUCCACCAAGGGAAUUCCACACACAUAUUAUCUCACAAUGUAUGUGGGUCAGGACUCCAGGCAUACCUCAGCUGGGUUCUCGGCAAGGCUGUAUCAAAGUGUCAUUUGUGUUCUUAUUUGGAGGACUGACUGUAAGGUCCACUUACACACUAAGGAUGUCAGUAGAAUUCAAUUCUUUGUGGCUAUAGGACUGAACUUCUUGCUGGUUGUUGGCUGGAGGUUGCCCUCAGCUCCCUGUUACACGGAACUCAACAUGGCUGCUUGCUUCUUCAAGGCCAGCACUGGUGAGUGUCUCAAGGAAUUCUAGGAGUUCCCCUUGUGGCUCAGUGGUAACAAACCCGACCAGUAUCCAUGAGAACUCCGUUUUGAUCCCUGGCCUUGUUCAGUGGGUUAAGGAUACGAUGUUGCUUCAAACUGUGGUGUAGGCUGGCAGUUGCAGGUCUGAUUGGACCCCUAGCCUGUGAACUUCCAUAUGCUGCAGGUGUGGCCAUAAAAAAGAAAAAAAAAAAAGAAAAA